UACGGAGGGUGCAAGCGUUAAUCGGAAUUACUGGGCGUAAAGCGUGCGCAGGCGGUUUGUUAAGUCUGUUGUGAAAUCCCCGAGCUCAACUUGGGAAUUGCAAUGGAUACUGGCAGGCUGGAGUAUGGUAGAGGAAGGUGGAAUUCCCGGUGUAGCAGUGAAAUGCGUAGAGAUCGGGAGGAACACCAGUGGCGAAGGCGGCCUUCUGGGCCAAUACUGACGCUCAUGCACGAAAGCGUGGGGAGCAAACAGG
rnacentral:rRNA from 1 species